AUUGAACGCUGGCGGCAGGCCUAACACAUGCAAGUCGAGCGGAUGAAGGGAGCUUGCUCCUGGAUUCAGCGGCGGACGGGUGAGUAAUGCCUAGGAAUCUGCCUGGUAGUGGGGGAUAACGUCCGGAAACGGGCGCUAAUACCGCAUACGUCCUGAGGGAGAAAGUGGGGGAUCUUCGGACCUCACGCUAUCAGAUGAGCCUAGGUCGGAUUAGCUAGUUGGUGGGGUAAAGGCCUACCAAGGCGACGAUCCGUAACUGGUCUGAGAGGAUGAUCAGUCACACUGAAACGGGGAAACGGUCCAAAUUCUAAGGGGAGGAAGAAGUGGGAAAUAUUGGAAAAUGGGCGAAGGCCUAAUCAAGCAAGGCGGGGGGUGGAAAGAAGGUCUUCGAAUUGUAAGCACUUUAAGUUGGGAGGAAGGGCAGUAAGUUAAUACCUUGCUGUUUUGACGUUACCAACAGAAUAAGCACCGGCUAACUUCGUG
rnacentral:rRNA from 1 species